rnacentral:tRNA from 1 species
UGGGGAGUGGUGUAACGGGAACACGCUGGACUCUGGAUCCAGUAAUGAAGGUUCAAAUCCUUCCUCCCCAGCCA